rnacentral:rRNA from 1 species
CAUUACAAAUCCAUCCACGUCUCAAUCUCUCUGAGACCACGUUGAACUGUUCCCUAGUGUGGGGUGUCGUGGACGCGCCUUGCGCGCAUCCACAGCACUACUAUACUAGGCUUGUUAAACACACUAGUCCUACCAUCUGUUGCUCAACUGUAUCUUUCUUGAUUGUAAUGAUCAAGGCAAACAAAGUACAACUUAUAACAAUGGAUCUCUAGGCUCUUGCAUCGAUGAAGAACGCAGCCAAACGCGAAAUGUGUUAUGACUUGCAAUCUUCGCGAAUCAUCCAAUUUUUGAACGCAACUUGCACCUUCGGGCUUGACCCUUAGGUAUACUUGUUUGAGUAUCGUCUAUGCUCUCACCAACCACCACAACCACAACCAUGCGCGCGUUCUCCUACCGGGGAGCGCAAUGGGAGGGGGCGUGGUGCACACUGGUGGAUUUGAGGCGCCUAGGAUGACCACCCGUGUCGUCCUUGCUUCUAAAUGCAUGAUCUUGCUCCAAUGGACAAGUCUUGCCCGCGGCAACCACACUGCUACUGCUACUGCUACUGCUACUGCUACUGCUACACACUCACAUGCAUGCUCGUGGAAGCAUUGGAAGGGCGCGCGCGGUGACACCUGAACGUCUUUAGGGUGUCACCCCGGUCCUGACCAGUGCUGACAUGCAUCAUCAUGUGGAAGUGGAGGAGGAGGAGGAGGAGCAGCAGCUGGCCAGUGUGCUGCCAUUGGGAGCCAACUUGGGAUAACGUCCAUCAAGUUUGGCUACUUGUUUUCAUCAUUGGACUCGGAGAGCCCUGUAACAG